rnacentral:ncRNA from 1 species
CAUAGGUCUGGUCCUAGCCUUCCCAUUAGUUAUCAGUAAGACUACACAUGCAAGUAACCGCACUCCAGUGAGAAUGCCCUCUAGAUCCUAAUGAUCAAAAGGAGCAGGCAUCAAGCACGCCAAAUGGUUGCUCACCACGCCUUGCUAAACCACACCCCCACGGGACACAGCAGUGACAAAACUUAAGCAAUUAACGAAAGUUAGACUAAGCUAUGCUGACACUCAGGGUUGGUAAAUUUCGUGCCAGCCACCGCGGUCAUACGAUUAACCCAAACUAAUAAACCCGGCGUAAAGUGUGUUUAAGAUUUUUACCCAAUAAAGUUAAAUUUUACCUAGGCCGUAAAAUGCUUCAGCUAAAAUAUAAAUGCCCUACGAAAGUGACUUUAAAACUCUGAAAACACGACAGCUAAGACUCAAACUGGGAUUAGAUACCCCACUAUGCUUAGCCAUAAACCUAAAUAGUUCAUAAACAAUACUACUCGCCAGAGUACUACGAGCAAUAGCUUAAAACUCAAAGGACUUGGCGGUGCUUCACACCCCUCUAGAGGAGCCUGUUCUAUAAUCGAUAAACCCCGAUAAACCUCACCACUUCUUGCUAAUACAACCUAUAUACCGCCAUCCCCAGCAAACCCUAUUAAGGCCUUAAAGUAAGCGCAAGUACAUUACAUAAAAACGUUAGGUCAAGGUGUAGUCUAUGAAGUGGAAAGAAAUGGGCUACAUUUUCUACAACAGAACAGCACACUUAACAACAACCUUUAUGAAAUUAAAGGUUAAAGGAGGAUUUAGUAGUAAACUAAGAAUAGAGAGCUUAAUUGAAAAGGGCCAUGAAGCACGCACACACCGCCCGUCACCCUCCUCAAAUCCCAUUCACUAAAUCCCUAAUAACUCACCUAAAAAUCACAAGAGGAGACAAGUCGUAACAAGGUAAGCAUACUGGAAAGUGUGCUUGGAGUAUU